rnacentral:rRNA from 1 species
UACGUAGGGCGCAAGCGUUGUCCGGAAUCAUUGGGCGUAAAGAGCUCGUAGGUGGCUUGUCACGUCGGGUGUGAAAGCUUGGGGCUUAACUCCAGGUCUGCAUUCGAUACGGGCUGGCUAGAGGUAGGUAGGGGAGAACGGAAUUCCUGGUGUAGCGGUGAAAUGCGCAGAUAUCAGGAGGAACACCGGUGGCGAAGGCGGUUCUCUGGGCCUUACCUGACGCUGAGGAGCGAAAGCGUGGGGAGCGAACAGG